rnacentral:lncRNA from 1 species
GGACUUUUGGUAUAGCAUUGGAAAUGUAAAUGAGCUAAAUACCUAAUAAAAAAUGGAAAAAAAAAAUAAGGGAAUCUAUGACUCUGAUUGACAUGGUCCAAACUUUGGCCAACACAGUUAUAUUAACUUACACAACAUUAUUCAUUAUUAUUAUUAUUUUUCAAGACAGGGUUUCUCUGUUUAGCCCUGGAUGUCCUGGAACUCACUUUGUAGACCAGGCUAGCCUUGAACUCAGAAAUCUGCCUGCCUCUGCCUCCCUAGUGCUGGGAUUAAAGGUGUCUGCCAACACCAGCCGGCAACAUUAUUCAUUCUUUUUUUUUUUCUUGAGUAUUUUCUUCAUUUACAUUUCAAAUGCUAUUCCAAAAGUAUAGGGGAUUUUGGGAACAUUAUUCAUGCUUGAGAAAAAUUCUAGCAACUGUCAACUAUCUGCUCAAGUAUGAUGAUGUCUCUGUUUUGUUCCUACCUGGAAACUCAUAGGGAUAAAAGUUUUAUGAGGUUCAUUGAUGAGGUAACUGGUUUAGAAUUCACAGUUUACUUUAAGUCCAUGAAAUAACUCAUUCAGGUGUGAAACACUGUUGGUGAGUAUUAGUGCUUUUUCUGUUGUUGUGAUAAAAUGUCUAAUGUAUUAUAGAAAAAUGCAAUCCCAAACCAGGGUUUCCACCCCAACUUUGGCCAUUUCUUUUCUAGGUAAAACACACCCAACUUUUCUAUUUGUGAUAAACCUUAAUCAGCACCAAACAUUGGCUGAUAUCUAUCCUCUAUGCUACCACGUCUAUUUACCAGCCAGGAAUUUUGUCAUAUAAUUUGCCUUAUUUCAUCUGGGCUAUGCUUAAUUCCAAGUAGUCACCGCACAUGACCAUUAUUUUGUUAUUGACCUAACCUAAGGCUGCUUUUUCUCUGUCUACUUCUCUUCUCUUCUCUUCUCUUCUCUUCUCUUCUCUUCUCUUCUCUUCUCUUCUCUUCUCUUCUCUUCUCUUCUCUUCUCUUCUCUUCUCUUCUCUUCUCUUCCUUGUGGUUCUCCACUGAUCCCAAGUUCAGUAUCCCUAAACCCUGUCUAUGUCUCUUCUGCCCAGCUACUGCCCAGCUAUUGAUUGUUGUCAUCUUUAAUAACCAGGCAGAAGUAACUUGAGAGCAAGAUCACACAGCGUCUCUCUUCGGUCUGUGUGCAGAUCUUGUCUUCUAUGUAGCAAUCAGUUUUUAGUUUCCUGCUUUUAACAUUACAGUACAUAGCAAGAGACGAAACCUCAACAUGAAGGUAAUUUUUAGAAGCAUUUAAAUUUCAUUAGAGUCCUAAAGGGAUAUAGGAUCACCAUGAUAUUGUCAGGGCAACAAGUGUCAUUUGUGGCAGCUAAACAGGAGCUCAGAGCUCAAGUCCUCAACCAAUUGCUUUAAAGACAGAGUUAGGGCUGGGUGUGGUAUCACUGGCCUUUAAUCCCAGCACUUGGGGGGCAGAGGCAGGCAAAUUUCUGAGUUUGAUGCCAGCCUGGUCUACAGAGUGAGUUCCAGAUGACACUACUAACUGAGAAGUAUUGAUUUUUCUGCCAUCAAUCCUCUAUGCUUGCUUUCUGUUACAUAAGCCAACUCAUGAUGAAGAAAAACUUUGUGGAUAAGCAUUAGAUACCACAAACCCUGGGUUAUAGUUGUUAAUGCUUAUACAAGAAGAACAUCAUGAGUAAAAUUUUCUUGCUCAUCAUUUUCUUUUAAUUUUAUUUAUGGGGUUUGCCUGCAUCUUUGGGUGAGUAUGUGCAUGUCUAUGCUGAUUUCCAAGAUUAUUACUUUGUUGUAUCUUCUCAUGGCAGAAAAUACAGGAAGAUGUCCAAACCUGACCUUGUCCCUGGGAAUGAAGUUUUCUUAAUUACUUGGCCAUGUCUCUAGCCAUCUAAAUAAUUAAAGUGUUUUAUAUCAUCAUGAUGUCAGGAAAUAGAAAAAAAACUUAUACAAGUGAAAACCCUAUCCACGUUGAUGACCUCGUUAUAGACUGUAACAUCACAGAUGUUUUCCAUAUCAGGAAGAAUAUACUGCUUCAUCUCUUCCUCAUCAGAGCCUUGAUGGAAGUAAAUUAUUUCCCAUGGUCACUCGAGUGUUGUAGUAGACAUCACCAAUUGUGGUGGUGGUUUCAUUUUCAAACAUUUGGAAUAUAUAUUAGAGCUUAUUCUAUGUCUUUAAAUUCCAUUUACAGAUGUUUAUUAUGCGGUCUUUGACUUCCUUCUGUGAUUUUUGUUCAGCUUUAAUCCCACUUUUCUUGUUGAUAGGUACUCUUCUACUGCAAUGAAAUGAGUUGGAUACUC